rnacentral:lncRNA from 1 species
AUGCUGCACAACACAGGUACUCAGUGUGAGAAGACGACGGAGGCGCUUCCGUUUCAGGGUGCUGACGCCGGGUGUGAGCCCCGAGGCGGCUGUCAACAUCCAUUCUGCCUCUCCCUUGCUGGGACCAGCGCUGGAGCCUGCCACUUAAGUUCAUCACUUCCCCUUCUCACCGGCACAGGCUCCCGUGCUUGUUCUGCCUCUGGCCAUUCAUGCUCAGCAGAUAACCGCGGCCACGGCCCCGUGUGGAACACGGGCAGGGUUCCGAGCGAGCCAGAUAUAGCCUGUUAUCGCUGCGGUUACAGUGUGUGGGCUCAUUGAGAACUUUCGGGACACUUUAUCAAUGAGGGCCGCUGUGCCAGGAGCUCUGGCGUGGCUCAUGUGAAGGAGCAGAGGUGCAGAUGAAGGCUGUGGAGACAGCCGGCCUGCUUAUCUGGCGUGCUUUCCCAGUGAGGUCAGACACCAGCGCCACGCCGUCUCCCCUGGUGGAAACAAACCACAGAAGGCCAGAGCCGGACGCCCAGGGAGGCUUCACGGAGGGAGGAGACCCAGCGUGAGGACAGGUCUUGUCCAAGGUCCUGCAGCGAGGUCAGGUCAGAGACUCGGGUCCACAGAAGAAGAGCCCCGCUGCCCUCUGCAAGCAGUGUCAGGCUUCCAAGGAGGAGCAGGAGGUUUGAGGGUGUGAAUGCCUUGCUUUUCUGCCUUUAAAAACAUAAAGAGGUCAGCAGGAAGUCAGGAGCGAGCUGUUUCUCUAGAACCCCACUCGAAGCAGGACUUUUCAUUCCCAUCAAGCGUCUGUAUUUUAAAAAUAAUUUCAUUCAGGACUUCCCUGGUGGUUCAGUGGUAAAGAACCCGCCCGCCAGUGCAGGAACAGGGCUCUGACCACCAGUCCGGGAAGAUCCCACACGCCUUGGAGCAACCAAGGCCGCGGGCCACAACCACCGCGCUUGCGCACCGGGGCCCGUGCUCCGCGCAAGAGAAGCCACCGCAAUGAGAGCCUGGGCACCGCAACGAGCAGGAGCCUGGACGCUCGGCAGCCAGAGAGAAGCCCGCGCGGCAACGGAGACCCAGCGCGGCCAAAGAUGAAGGAGUAAACAGAUGCAGACCUCAUUUUUAAAAAGUUAUAACUUCACUCGUUUUCAGGUUUUCUUGUGUACAUAUAAAAAUAAAAUGAC